CUGGAGGCAUUCGAGGAGGUAAACGAGCUUGGCUUCUUGUUUCACGUACUCGACCUCUUGAAUGACGUCGAGAUUUGCUGCACCGGCUCGCCCCACGUUGACUAUCACGGGUUUUACGAGAGCGCUUUUGGCGAAGUUCUGGAUUUUGGUGGGCAUGGUUGCGGAGAAGAGAAGAGUCUGCCUUUGUGCUUUGAAGUGGUCAAAUACUACCCUGAUGUCAUCCUCAAAACCUAGAUCCACUAGUCUAUCUGCCUCGUCCAACGUUAGAUACCUGCGAGACACAAAAGUUAACAUCAUCAAUGCUACACAAGUUCUAUCAUACGACGAAGUUUAACGUGCGAAGAUGUGACCGAAUCUAGGAAUUGUUACAUUCCAGGGGCUGCAGCUAGUUACUGAUCAUUAUAACUAGUUAUUAAGUAGGGUAAAAAAGUUACAAAUGACAAAACAAGUUAUUCGGGUAACUAGUUACAGACGUAUAUAACUUUUUAUUCGGUUGUGUAACUACUAACUAGUUACAAAUGAUAUAACUAGUCACAUGAUGAUUUUACUGAACAAAGAACAUUCCUGCUGGUAACAAGUUAACAGUGUCGUUUGGUUUAUGCUUCGUUCAGAACAUCUCUAAUCCUUUUUAACAAUAAGUAACCCCCAGGACAUUAGUCCAAAAUCAAACUUUUCUUUAGAGUUAAUCAUCAAUUGCAUGAUGAUUAUCUCCUUAUGCGCAAGAAUCAGUCCGGAAAGACCCAAAAACCAAGUCUCCUAACACAAACUUAUGUCAAAGAGGGAUACGAAAUGCUUCUCUAGAUGAUCAGGAGAACAUGAAUGAAAUACUUUUCUAGCUUUCACCCAAAAUAAUGAGAUUUAGAUAACCUAGAGAGCAUAAAGGGAACAGAAAUUCGGUACUGUGGAGGAAUAAAAUUUGGUACCUGCAACUGUCGAGACUCAUUUUUUUCUUUGCAAGAAGAUCCUUCAACCUUCCUGGAGUGGCAACAACAAUAUGCACACCUCUCUUCACGAUCUCCAACUGCGAUUUCAUUUCAACUCCACCGAUACAGAGCAAAGUUCUCAAUUCAGGAUAUCCAGCCUCCCUCAUUGGAGUCAGAAACUGCUCAACCACAUCAAAAGUCUGCCUAGCCAGUUCUCUCGAAGGACAAACAACCAACCCAAAGGGUCCUUCCCC
rnacentral:lncRNA from 1 species